CUCCAAAAAUCAUCAAUGAAAGUUAAUGAAUACUGAGAAUCAUCUUUAAACUGAAUAGGCAGAAGAUCCCAAAGAUCAGAAUGGAUAUAAUUUAAUGUACCCUUUAUCCUUUGGACGGCUAUGCUGACUCGACUCUAAAUUGCUUUUCAUAGAUACAAAACUCACAAAAAUCAAGCUUCUCAAUUUUUUGACCACACAAU
rnacentral:lncRNA from 1 species